rnacentral:misc_RNA from 1 species
AAGUCGUAACAAGGUUUCCGUAGGUGAACCUGCGGAAGGAUCAUUAAUGAAUGAAUGUAGAGUCGGUUGUAGCUGGGUCUUUUAAUCGAGGCCAUGUGCACGCCUUCUCUUUCAUCCACACACACCUGUGCACCUGUUUAGACGGUCGAAGGAAAAAGUCUUUCUCGCGAGAGAGAGGCUGGCUCCUUUUCCGUCGAAUACAUAAAAUCUUAUAUAUUUAAUCAGAAUGUAAUCGAUGUAAACGCAUCUAUAAACUAAGUUUCAACAACGGAUCUCUUGGCUCUC